GUGCCAGCCGCCGCGGUAAAACGUAGGAGGCGAGCGUUAUCCGGAUUUACUGGGCGUAAAGCGUGUGCAGGUGGUUUGGUAAGUUGGAUGUGAAAGCUCCUGGCUUAACUGGGAGAGGUCGUUCAAUACUGCCAGACUUGAGAGUGAGAGAGGGAGGUGGAAUUCCGGGUGUAGUGGUGAAAUGCGUAGAUAUCCGGAGGAACACCAGUGGCGAAAGCGGCCUCCUGGCUCAUUUCUGACACUCAUACAC
rnacentral:rRNA from 1 species